rnacentral:lncRNA from 1 species
GUCCGUAGAUACCGCAGUCAAGGGGCGAUUCACUCCAUUUACUGACACAAUAGACAUGGAGUGCCUCCCAUGGACACAGGGAAUGAAGGGAUAGACAGAUGUCCUAUCUUUGGGAAUGCUGGCCUUCCAAGGAGAGAGUUGUCCACUGGGGAAAACGCCUGGGCAAUUCCCUGCAGUGUGGCAGGUGUGAAGGUGGAGAGCCCAGAGAUCCAGACCCAGCCUCAAUGCUCCCACCUGCAACUGUUUAACAGCAACUAAACCUUUCCUGGACACAGGUUCCUCAAGGGCUGAACAUUUGAGAAACCUAUUAUCAUUAUCAACCUAUUAUCAACAAAGAUGUUAUCAUUGUCUACUGGUUGCUUCUCUCUCUGGGCUUGUUAAGCAAGACACCUAAGUUGAUCCUGGAGCUGCCACUUCUCCUUUACUUCCACGUACUGUUUCUACCCAUUCCCCCAGCCCAACACCUCCAGGCGUGACUCUUUUCUAGCCAGAUCCUCAGCCAAAUGCUAGAAACACAAUGCUGUAAGCAGACAAGGAGGGAAAAAUCAAAGUGCAGGCAGUAAGCCUCCUACCCUGCAGCAAAUCAUACAUGGACAAACGCAGGGUCCAUUCAUCCUUUCUUUCACACUGUUGUUGUUGCUCAUCUCUAUUUCAUCUCAACUACUCCAAAGACAGGAGGAGGCCAAGGUCUAUAGUAUUUUAAAGGAGAGUUCUCAUACUCUAGACUAAUAAAGCC